GUGAUACCAUGUUCAAAAUAAAGAAUAAAUAGCAGAUGGUGAUAUCUGUUAGAAUAUAAACCCGAUAAGGGAAAAGACUGCCAUUUUUCUGGCUGAAGGAAGUGCCUGAUUUAGUGUCUCAAAUAUUGUGAAAGUACUUGGCAAAUCACAUUUGUUGGUGAAGCCCACACUUUGACUUUCCCAGCUAUCAAGGCUCAAUAUAUAAAUAUGCUGCAGUUUAAGAGCUUCCUUUACAGAUGGAACUAACAUUAUCGUCUUUAGUCAAAAUGAGACUAUGCUGUUUGUAAAACCAUUUCAAGCUGAAUGAUCCCCAACCAAACAGCUUGAAAGAAAAGGCACAUAUGAUCAGAUUGCAGGCAGACACACGCACACACACACACACACACACACACACACCUUUGUAUAUAUUUUACAUGUAGGUAUUAUAAGCACUCAUGCUUAUAAAGAAAAAAUCGCCCGAUUAUUUUUAGAGCAUCUGUCAGAAGAGGAGGACAUUACCCAGGCACCCUUCCUUCCUCGAAGGAAGACACAGAUGGAAGCCUUCUAAAGCCUCAUAUGAAGCAGAAUCCGACCCCACAACUAAAGGAGGACUAGCCGGAAUCAUUGAGGCAUCCUGGCCCUACUCAAGCAGGUUGGUUUUCAGCAUAAAACGUAAGUGCUGAGGACAGAUUAGAAAAGUGGAUAGAUUCAUUGGGAAGAGCAUAGGAUGGUGGCAGGCAGGGGUCCAAUAUGGAUGGGACCAGUACAAGGCAGGGAUGAGAAUUGCAAAUCUGUGGCUUGGAGUCCAAACUCUGGGUUUAUUCUUAUGUAAUAAGGACCAGAUAUGGUUAGAAGUGUAACUUUGCUAUAAACUCAAGAUACUGUAAAUGCUCAAAGAUAGGCUUUUGUGCAUUUCUGUUUUUGCCAGUUGAAUUUGUGUUUCCUAUUUGUAAGUAAUGAAUUACAAAUGAAACAACUAGAUGGGAUUAACUAAUCUCUAAGAUGUCUUCCAACUAUACAAGUCUGUAAUGCUUAGAGUAUUCAAGAAUAUAACUAAUAACAUAAAGGCAGAGAUUUUGUCAAUUUUUCCCCAUGGAUUCAUUAAGCUAGAACAUUACAUUGCAC
rnacentral:lncRNA from 12 species